rnacentral:lncRNA from 1 species
ACAAUCCACUUCGUUUUUUUCCGCUGACGGCCUUGGGCGGAUCUGCCGCAGCUGCUCUUGCUCCCGGCGCCGGGCAUGGAGGUGGAGGAGGACGACGACGAGGCCGGAUAUGCCGCCACGGCUCUUGCUCCCGACGCCGACCAGGGCGGCGGAGGAGGACGACGACGACUCAGACGAGCUCGGUGACGAGAGCGGCGACAACGCGACCCUCGGCUGCAAAUCUGCGACCAUAAGCGCCCGUUUUUUUGGGCGAAUCGUUCGCGAAUCGCGAAUAAUUCGCGAAUAAUUAUUUUUGAGGAAGAAGACGCGUUUUUUUUCAAAAAUUUCGAAAAAAUACGGGAACGGACCGUUUAAAUCGUAUAUUUAAAAAUUCGCGAAUAAUUCGCGUAUUAAUCGCGAAUUAACUAACUAUUACUACGAAACCUAGGGGAACCUAGGAGGGAUCCAAGCACGCGAGCGAGCGAGAGAGAGACGCGAGCAAGAGGGACCCACGACCGAAAAGACGGAGAGGAGAGAGAGAGAGAGAGAGAGAGAGAGAUGAUCAGCGUAAUAAAAAUAAAAAAAGAGAGAGGGACCCACACCGAGAAUGCGGAGGGCCUGUAGAAGCAGUUUUCGGUUCGUCCUUUAAUGUAUUGGCAUUGAUAAGAUAGGGGUGAAAAUAGUCAAGCAAUUAAAAUAGGAUUUAUCUCAAUCUUUGUUAGUUAAUUCGCGAAUAAUUUACGAAUUAUUUACGAAUUUUUGAAUAACGAAUAAAACAGUCUGAAUAGAUAUUUUUCUCAAAAAAUCGAAAUAAUUCUCGUUUUUUUGAGGUUUAUUCGCGAAUUUUUGUAUAACGAAUAAAAUAGCCCGAAUACAUAUUUUUCUCAAAAAUUCGAAAUAAUUCUCUUUU